GUAGUCUCGCACAGAUGCAUAUCAAUAAGCGGAGGAAAAGAAACUAACAAGGAUUCCCUUAGUAACGGCGAGUGAAGCGGGAAGAGCUCAAAUUUGAAAUCUUAAAGGGUUUCCCUUUACGAAUUGUAGUUUAAAGAAGUGUUUUCUGUUGAGGUUUUGGUAAAAGUUCUUUGGAAUAGGACAUCAUAGAGGGUGAGAAUCCCGUAUUUGACCUUUACUUUCAACUUUGUGAUACACUUUCAAAGAGUCGGAUUGUUUGGGAAUGCAGUCCAAAAUGGGUGGUAAAUUUCAUCUAAAGCUAAAUAUUGGCGAGAGACCGAUAGCGAACAAGUACCGUGAGGGAAAGAUGAAAAGAACUUUGAAAAGAGAGUUAAACAGUACGUGAAAUUGUCAAAAGGGAAGCGUUUGACACCAGUGUUGUUUUUCUGAAAAUCAAUUAAAGAACUGUUUAUGCUAAGCUGUUUAGACUUUAUCGGCUAUCUGUUUAGUUUUGAGCUUUUCUUUAAUGCACUUUUCAGUUAACAAGUCAACAUCAAUUUCUUUUGCUGUAAAAAAGCUUGAGGAAGGUGGCUUGAGAUUCGUCUUAAGUGUUUAUAGCCUCUUGCCUAUGCAGUCGGAGAGAUUGAGGUCUGCAGCGUAGAUCCUUCGGGGCUAAAUGCAUUUGUGCUAAGUUAUAGCAUUUUAUAGACAACUUGUUGACUAUGAUUUGUCUUGUAGCUUACUCGCUUAUGUUAUUUUACCUACGCUUAGGAUGUUGAAGACUCUACAGAGAUA
rnacentral:rRNA from 1 species